rnacentral:lncRNA from 10 species
GUUAGGACUUACUGUAUUUGAUUUGUAUACAAAGGCUAUGGGAUUAUAUUUACUCCCUCACAACAGUCCUAUGAGGUAAGUAUAGGACCCCUAUUUCUCAUAGGAGGCUCUGUAGCUUAGACAAGUGAAGCAACAAGCUAAGGUCACAUAUGCUGAGAGAUGAACCAAAGUCUGACCAACUCGGGAUCCUGCCAUGCUAAGUGCUCUUUGUCCUCUACUAACUGCUGACAGUUAAGCUACAUAUUAAAGAAUGAAGAGUUCACGAGAUAUAUUCUCACUCUGUCACCCAAGAUAAAGUAUAGUGGCAUGAUCAUAGCUUACUGCAGCCUCUAACAUCUGGACUCAAGCAAUCUUCUUGCCUCAGCCUCCCAAGAAGCAGGGACUGCAGGUGCUUUGCAACCAUGCCUGGAAUAGUCCAUCAAGCCUCAGAAGUUUUACCAUGAAAACAAUAAUACUGUUCGGACAAUGUGUUCUCAAUAGGCUUAUUGGUAACUUCUUUAUUGAUCAAACCUGAAUCUCUGGUAACAUGAAGAAUUGAAAACAUCUGGAUUCUGUUAGAAGCAUGGAACUCACUUGGGAAACUGGCUGCUAGUGUAUUGGACAUUCACAGCACAGCACUACCCCUGUGGUUUUAUAAAUAAACAUGAAACUCAAAUCUCCAAAACAACCACUAAGGCCUCUAAACCAAAACACCUCUGCCUGGGCAGAGGUGGCAAAGCAGUGGUUAACAUACGUCCCUAAUGUCAUUCAUUAGUAAUAUUUAAUUAUUUGUUUCAGUCACUCUGAAUAAAAUAGUUUGUUAAUUAUAGAUAAAAUCUCCUCUUUCUCUAUCAAUUUUUAUUUUGAGAGUUUAAUUCAUACUUUCCAGCAUCUCCUAAGAGCUUUUCUCUAUCGUCCCAAUCAAGUGAUCUCUCCUAUCUUGCUGUAAUCAACAAGAUGAUUUUUCUCCACUUCCACAAUUUUCUGUCUCUCAUUUAUGACUUUGAAAUCAGUAUGUCUUUCCCCGAUCUUUGCUACAAUAAACAAGCCUCUCUAACA